GGUUGUUGAGGUGAACAGCAGCCUUCGGACAAAAGCUGAAAGUCCAGCUUCACCUGUCUACCAACAAGCUGGAGACCUGGAAGAGGUGGUUGUUGAGAUGAACAGCAGCCUUCGGACAAA